rnacentral:piRNA from 1 species
UAGCCAGCCAGCUAGGAGCAGAGCCAGGGA